GACGAACGCUGGCGGCGUGCUUAACACAUGCAAGUCGAACGGUGAAGGGGUCUGCUUUUGUGGGCCCUGGAUGAGUGGCGAACGGGUGAGUAACACGUGAGUAACCUGCCCCCUUCUUCUGGAUAACCGCAUGAAAGUGUGGCUAAUACGGGAUAUUCUGGGUCUGUCGCAUGAUGGGUCUGGGAAAGAUUGCGCCUUUGGGUGUUUUUGGUGGGGAUGGGCUCGCGGCCUAUCAGCUUGUUGGUGGGGUGAUGGCCUACCAAGGCGGUGACGGGUAGCCGGCCUGAGAGGGUGGACGGUCACACUGGGACUGAGACACGGCCCAGACUCCUACGGGAGGCAGCAGUGGGGAAUAUUGCACAAUGGGCGCAAGCCUGAUGCAGCGACGCCGCGUGAGGGAUGGAGGCCUUCGGGUUGUAAACCUCUUUCGCCAGUGAAGCAGGCCUGCUCCUUGUGGGUGGGUUGACGGUAGCUGGAUAAGAAGCGCCGGCUAACUACGUG
rnacentral:rRNA from 1 species